AUUUUCCUCCCCAGAGCCAACCGGCGUUAGACGCGAGCGGGUUCUACUUCCUGAGGGGGGAAAGGAAGCUGCUCUUUUAAAGCAACUGCAGUAGCCACGUGAGCCGAGCGUCUCACCUCAGCUGAUGAGGCAGAUCGUCGAGACACUUUGCCGCACGGUCCCCCAGGGGGCACAGGCCUUGGUGGCAAGGCAAAUUUGCAAUCUGCUCACGUUAAAAAAUGGUGAGCAGUGACUUCAGAGUUGAGAAAAAACAGGGAAAUAGGAUAAAAACUGUUUAGGACGUCGGAGCAUGGUACCUGCAUAGACUGGGCAUGGAGUUGGGGAGGGAUGGAUCGUAAUAUAGACGCUGUUCUAAAACGAGCAUUUGUUUAUUGUUACUGUGCAGUACAGGCACGCCCUAGCAACUGUGGGGAGGUUAAAGGACAGUUUGAAGGAGUUGGUGGGAUUUGGGGAUCGAAAUGAAGUUGGCAGGUUUGCUCAGCAAGUGCCUUUUUCCCUUUGAGACUUCUGGCUACCCGCACCUAUUUCUUUGAAGCAUAGUCGCAAAAGUUGUGUAGCAGAAGAUAGCAGUUCAGCUGAUUCUCCUGCCUCAGGUCCUGGGAAUUAGUCUUGGGCCACCAUGUCUAAGCUUUUUGUUAAUUGAAGGGAAGCGGGGAAUGAGUAAGUUUGGUUUGAUUUGGGUUUUUCCAGUGUGUCGGCAUUCCACCCCUGGCUGUCCCUGUGCUGUAGACCAGGCUGACCUCAAACUCGGAGAUCUGUCUCACAAGUGCUGGGAGAAAACGUGUGUGCCACCACCUAGAUUUCAGUUACAGAUGAGGGUCAGACCGAGAGAAGAGGCUCAGAAUUGGAGAUGUGUGACAGGACCUGAGAAUGGAAAUAAAUUCAUUUGGGCUGGAGGGCACAGAACCGUAUUAUACUGUACUUUCAUGCAUAGCAACCGUUACUUUCUGAUCAUUGGCUUCCUGUUACUACGGUUUCUAUCCCUGGUACCUGGCUUAUUUAUACCUCAUCGCCUACCACCAGAUUUUAAUGAUAUUUAUUUAUUUAUUUAUUCUAUUUAUUUAUUUUGGUUUUUCGAGACAGGGUUUCUCUGUGUAGUCCUGGCUGUCCUGGAACUCACUCUAUAGACCAGGCUGGCCUGGAACUCAGAAAUCUGCCUGCCUCUGCCUCCCAAGUGCUGGGAUUAAAGGCGUGCACCACCACCGCCCUGCUUAUUGACCUUUUUAGAGAGUUCAGCAAUGUAUCCUCCUAGACUAAUGCUUCCCUGGUCGCUCCCCCACCCCCUUCACUAUACCCCCAUCAACCAAAAAAUAAACUUCAACUUCUGUAUGGU
rnacentral:lncRNA from 1 species